rnacentral:rRNA from 1 species
UAAUUGAAGAGUUUGAUCAUGGCUCAGAUUGAACGCUGGCGGCAGGCUUAACACAUGCAAGUCGAACGGUAACAGGAGAAAGCUUGCUUUCUUGCUGACGAGUGGCGGACGGGUGAGUAAUGCUUGGGAAUCUGCCUUGUGGAGGGGGAUAACUACGGGAAACUGUAGCUAAUACCGCGUAAUAUCGAAAGAUUAAAGUAUGG